rnacentral:rRNA from 1 species
GACGAACGCUGGCGGCGUGCCUAAUACAUGCAAGUUGAGCGCUGAAGGUUGGUACUUGUACCAACUGGAUGAGCAGCGAACGGGUGAGUAACGCGCGGGGAAUCUGCCUUUGAGCGGGGGACAACAUUUGGAAACGAAUGCUAAUACCGCAUAAAAACUUUAAACACAAGUUUUAAGUUUGAAAGAUGCAAUUGCAUCACUCAAAGAUGAUCCCGCGUUGUAUUAGCUAGUUGGUGAGGUAAAGGCUCACCAAGGCGAUGAUACAUAGCCGACCUGAGAGGGUGAUCGGCCACAUUGGGACUGAGACACGGCCCAAACUCCUACGGGAGGCAGCAGUAGGGAAUCUUCGGCAAUGGACGAAAGUCUGACCGAGCAACGCCGCGUGAGUGAAGAAGGGUUUCGGAUCGUAAAACUCUGUUGGUAGAGAAGAACGUUGGUGAGAGUGGAAAGCUCAUCAAGUGACGGUAACUACCCAGAAAGGGACGGCUAAAUACGUG